AUACGGAGGGUGCAAGCGUUAUCCGGAUUUAUUGGGUUUAAAGGGUGCGUAGGCGGUUUUAUAAGUCAGCGGUGAAAUAUUUCAGCUUAACUGGAAGGGUGCCGUUGAUACUGUCGAGCUUGAAUUUAGUUGCUGUGGGUGGAAUGUGUGGUGUAGCGGUGAAAUGCAUAGAUAUCAGACAGAACACCGAUUGCGAAGGCAUCUCAUAAAUCCGUGAUUGACGCUGAGGCACGAAAGUGUGGGGAUCAAACAGGAUUGGAUUCCCUGGUAGUCCACACUGUAAACGAUGAUGACUCGCUGUCGGCGAUAUACAGUCGGUGGCCAAGCGAAAGCGAUGAGUCAUCCACCUGGGGAGUACGACCGCAAGGUUGAAACUCAAAUGAAUUGGCGGGG
rnacentral:rRNA from 1 species